UACGUAGGGUCCAAGCGUUAAUCGGAAUUACUGGGCGUAAAGCGUGCGCAGGCGGCUUUGCAAGUCAGACGUGAAAUCCCCGGGCCUAACCUGGGAAUGGCGUUUGAAACUACGGAGCUGGAGUGUGGCAGAGGGAGGUAGAAUUCCACGUGUAGCGGUGAAAUGCGUAGAUAUGUGGAGGAAUACCGAUGGCGAAGGCAGCCUCCUGGGCCAACACUGACGCUCAUGCACGAAAGCGUGGGGAGCAAACAGG
rnacentral:rRNA from 1 species